rnacentral:rRNA from 1 species
AUACUGAGGGUGCGAGCGUUAAUCGGAAUUACUGGGCGUAAAGCGCGCGUAGGCGGUAAGUUAAGUUGGAUGUGAAAUCUCUGGGCUCAACCCAGGAACUGCAUUCAAAACUGGCUCACUAGAGUAUGGUAGAGGCAAGUGGAAUUCCAGGUGUAGCGGUGAAAUGCGUAGAUAUCUGGAGGAACAUCAGUGGCGAAGGCGACUUGCUGGGCCAAUACUGACGCUGAGGUGCGAAAGCGUGGGUAGCAAACGGGAUUAGAAACCCUAGUAGUCC